UGGGGAAUUUUGGACAAUGGGCGCAAGCCUGAUCCAGCCAUGCCGCGUGCGGGAAGAAGGCCUUCGGGUUGUAAACCGCUUUUGUCAGGGAAGAAAUCUUCUGAGUUAAUACCUCGGGAGGAUGACGGUACCUGAAGAAUAAGCACCGGCUAACUACGUGCCAGCAGCCGCGGUAAUACGUAGGGUGCAAGCGUUAAUCGGAAUUACUGGGCGUAAAGCGUGCGCAGGCGGUUUUGUAAGACAGAGGUGAAAUCCCCGGGCUCAACCUGGGAACUGCCUUUGUGACUGCAAGGCUUGAGUGCGGCAGAGGGGGAUGGAAUUCCGCGUGUAGCAGUGAAAUGCGUAGAUAUGCGGAGGAACACCGAUGGCGAAGGCAAUCCCCUGGGCCUGCACUGACGCUCAUGCACGAAAGCGUGGGGAGCAAACAGGAUUAGAUACCCUGGUAGUCCACGCCCUAAACGAUGUCAACUGGUUGUUGGGAAGGUUCCUUCUCAGUAACGUAGCUAACGCGUGAAGUUGACCGCCUGGGGAGUACGGCCGCAAGGUUGAAAACUCGAAUGAAUUGACGGGGUCAUAGCUG
rnacentral:rRNA from 1 species